UUUUAUGGAGAGUUUGAUCCUGGCUCAGAGUGAACGCUGGCGGCGUGCCUAAUACAUGCAAGUCGAACGAUGAAGCUUUCUAGCUUGCUAGAAG
rnacentral:rRNA from 1 species